AAAAGUUCGUCUAAACCUACAUAUAUGUAUACAUAUAUAUAAUUAUUAUAACCUGAUGCAGAACAAGAUAGAGAUUGUGCACAGGACGAUAGCUAGCUUUUACUGAUUAUAAUCUAUACACACACAUAGAGAGAGAAAGACAAAAUGGGCUGAGGGUAUGAGAUAAUUCAGCUAGUGCUACAUCAAAGAUGUGAGAAAAAGCAAAGACGAAGACUCAGACCACUUGGUCAGCUCUCGCUCUCUCUCUCGAUUGUGCGUUUCGAUUGUAGAAAAUCUAAAACCAGAGGCGAU
rnacentral:lncRNA from 1 species